rnacentral:rRNA from 1 species
CCGUCCCUCGCCGGGCCGGACCGGCGCACGGGUGAGUAACACGUAUGCGACCUGCCCCCCGCAGGGGGAUAACCGGGAGAAAUCCCGACUAAUACCGCGUAACGCCGCGGGGCUGCAUGGCCCGGCGGCCAAAGGAAGCGAUUCCGGCGGGGGAUGGGCAUGCGGCGCAUUAGCUAGUCGGCGGGGUAACGGCCCACCGAGGCGACGAUGCGUAGGGGUUCUGAGAGGAAGGUCCCCCACACUGGUACUGAGACACGGACCAGACUCCUACGGGAGGCAGCAG